AUUGAACGCUGGCGGCAGGCCUAACACAUGCAAGUCGAGCGAGCGGCGGACGGGUGAGUAAUGUAUGGGGACUGCCCGAUAGAGGGGGAUAACUACUGGAAACGGUGGCUAAUACCGCAUAGUAUCGGAUAACCCAUAUGGGAUUAGCUAGUAGGUGGGGUAAAGGCUCACCUAGGCGACGAUGUCUAGCUGGUCUGAGAGGAUGAUCAGCCACACUGGGAGUUAGACACGGCCCAGACGCCGACGGAGGCAGUGGUGGGGAAUAUUGGACAAUGGGCGCAAGGCUGAUGCAGCCAUGCCGCGUGUAUGAAGAAGGCCUUAGGAUUGUAAAGUAAUUUCAGCAGGGAGGCGUUACCGGCAGAAGAAGCACGGGCUAACUCCGUGCCAGCAGCCGCGGUAAUAC
rnacentral:rRNA from 1 species